rnacentral:rRNA from 1 species
GUGAGGAAUAUUGGUCAAUGGGCGGGAGCCUGAACCAGCCAAGUCGCGUGAGGGAAGACGGUCCUAUGGAUUGUAAACCUCUUUUGUCGGGGAGCAAAGAGACAUCGCGAUGUCAAAAGUGAGAGUACCCGAAGAAAAAGCAUCGGCUAACUCCGUGCCAGCAGCCGCGGUAAUACGGAGGAUGCGAGCGUUAUCCGGAUUUAUUGGGUUUAAAGGGUGCGUAGGCGGACUGGAAAGUCAGCGGUAAAAUUGAGAGGCUCAACCUCUUCCCGCCGUUGAAACUGUCGGUCUUGAGUGGGCGAGAAGUAUGCGGAAUGCGUGGUGUAGCGGUGAAAUGCAUAGAUAUCACGCAGAACUCCGAUUGCGAAGGCAGCAUACCGGCGCCCAACUGACGCUGAGGCACGAAAGCGUGGGUAUCAAACAGGA